rnacentral:sRNA from 1 species
UUUUAGAAGAUACAAAGACAAAGAUUCAUACGGACUUCGACUACACUAUCAAAGCUUUGAGAAGCAAGAAGAAGCUUGGUUAGUGUUUUGGAUUCGAAUAUGACUUGAUGUCAUGUGUAUGACUCAGUAUAAAAACUAAAA